rnacentral:rRNA from 1 species
CGAGUAGGCGGUAGGGCAAGUCCAAGGUGGAAGCCUAUGGCUUAACCAUAGAAUUGCCUUGGAAACUGUUUUACUUGAGUCAGUGAGGGGAGGGCGGAAUUCCUGGUGUAGCGGUGAAAUGCGUAGAUAUCAGGAGGAAGGCCUGUGGCGAAGGCGGCCCUCUGGCACUGGACUGACGCUGAGGCGCGAAAGCGUGGGGAGCAAACAGGAUUAGAUACCCUGGUAGUCC